rnacentral:rRNA from 1 species
AGUUCAAGAGUACGUGAAACUGCUUAGAGGUUAAGCCCGAUGAACCUGAAUAUCCGUUAUGGAAAAUUCAUCAUUAAUAUUAUAAUAUUUAUCAUAUUAUAAAAAUAGUGUGCAAUUUUUCCAUAUAAGGACAUUGUAAUCUGUUAAUGUUAUAAAUAUUUAUCAUAAGAUCCAAUAUAUUAGUUCAUUCAAAUUAUUUAUUUUCGGAUUUUUAACAUAGAAUGAAUUUAUUGGAUUUGAUAAAUCAUUGACAGAUUAAAUUGUAUAUAGUGCGUAAAUUUUUCGGAAUUUUACAAUUUUAAAUUUAUCUAUUGAUUUUUUUAUUAUUGUAUGCACUUAUAUGAUUAACAAUGCGAUAGAUUCAGGAUACCUUCGGGACCCGUCUUGAAACACGGACCAAGGAGUCUAACAUAUGUGCAAGUCAUUGGGUAUUUUUAAUAAAACCCAAUGGCGUAAUUAACUUAACUGUUUAAAAUGGGAUUAGUUUAUAUUUUAUUAUGAAAUAUUAAUUCAAUCCCGGGGCGUUCUAUAUAGUUAUGCAUAAUGAUAUUUAUAUUAUUUAUGUCUCUAACUAGAGCGUACCUUGAGCAUAUAUGCUGUGACCCGAAAGAUGGUGA